rnacentral:tRNA from 1 species
GUCGCAAUAGCUUAUUUAAAGCNUGGGUCUUGUAAACCCAAGAUUGAAAGUAAAAAGCUUUCCUGCGGCU